rnacentral:rRNA from 1 species
UCAGGAUGAACGCUGGCGGCGUGCUUAACACAUGCAAGUCGAACGGAGCUUAGAAGGAAGCUUGCUUUCAUUUAAGCUUAGUGGCGGGUGGGUGAGUAACGCGUGAGUAACCUGCCCUUGAGAGGGGAAUAACAUCGAGAAAUCGGUGCUAAUACCGCAUAAUGUCGGAGUACCGCAUGACAUUCCGACCAAAGAUUUUAUCGCUCAAGGAUGGACUCGCGUCCGAUUAGCUGGUUGGUGAGGUAACGGCCCACCAAGGCUUCGAUCGGUAGCCGAACUGAGAGGUUGAUCGGCCACAUUGGGACUGAGACACGGCCCAGACUCCUACGGGAGGCAGCAGUGGGGAAUAUUGGGCAAUGGGCGCAAGCCUCGACCCAGCAACGCCGCGUGAAGGAUGAAGGUCUUCGGAUUGUAAACUUCUUUGAUUGGGGAAGAAUAAAUGACCUACCCAAAGAACAAGCCACGGCUAACUACGUGCCAGCAGCCGC